UAAGAAUGGCAAUAUACGGUUAAUCCGAAACAUACAUCUGGGAUAGGUGAUAUUUAGGAUUAUGCUCAAUAUCAAUAUAAUUCAGAAAUUGAAGAUAUACGGAAUUAUCUGACAAAAAAAAUGCCGACAUUACGCCGGCAUUGAGAAUAUAU
rnacentral:sRNA from 1 species